rnacentral:lncRNA from 1 species
UGUGUAGUUGUACAAAGAACACAGAAUUCAGUUGAACGUGCUAUGUCCGUGUGUGAAAAAUACAUGUAAAGGGCUUUGAAAUCUUAGAAGUUAGUAAGGAGCACACAGCAUCAGCAGCUAGGGUUUAUCAAGUGCCUACUGAAUGCCAGGCACUGUGCUAAGAUUGUCACAAUGAUUUGAUAAUUGUAUCACUAUUAGUCCCCGGCAUUUGAAGAUUGCUGGCCCCAUUCUAAGCACUUUUCAUGCCUUAGCUCAUGUAGACUCAAAACAACCCGGUGAGAUGAGGAAACUGAAACACAGAGCAGGGAAAUAAACAACUACUUAGUAAUGUGAGCUGGGCACCGUGAUUACCUACAUUCCACUGGAUAAGAAAUUGACAGGAGAUGAGUUCUGAGCCACUACUGCUGGGUGUCUGCUCCUGGGGUACCUGCUGGCCCUGAAUCACCCCUCUGGAUUCCUGGGACUCCAGGAACUUUGGGAUCCAGAGAAGCGAGCUCUUCCAUCCCAGGACCCAUGACUGCCCACGCUGUUGAGCUUCUGAGGGCAGGGACCAUGUUUUCUCUCUCAGAGCCAGGGCUGCAUGUUGGAACUGGCCCUGACAGUGUCAGUUAAACUUUCACGAAACAAAUGUUCCUGAACUUGAAGCCAUAGGACAGGACUCUGAAGAUCACAGAAUCACACAGUGAGAAAAUGAUGCCCUUUUCAGCUCUGCACCAGUCCUUCUCAUGACAGAAAGGAGAGUGUCUCGGGUUGGUUCGAGGAUGUCUUUAACCCCUCUCAUCGUUGCCCGUCUCGACACAGAACCAAGAACAGGCGGGUCCUAGACUCAGACUCUAGUGGACGAAUGUGUCCAGCAAAAGUAACAGCAUUACUUUAUUUUACAAUUAUCUUCAACGUAUACCAAGUGAUACUGGUUUUCCAUUUAUAAUGGCAAUGUAGCUUCCCUUGAGUUUGUUUUAAAUUUUAAUUCAAUUUCAGACAUACGGAAAAGUUGCGAGCAUAGUAGAGUUCCUGGAUGCCUUUCACCCAGAUUCCCUUAGUGUUAAUAUUUUCUCCCAAUCUCUCUCUCUGUGUCUCCCCCUACCUUCCCCACCAAACUACCUACCUACCUACCUACCUACACACACACACACACACACACACACACACACACACACUUUUUUUCUGAAUUAUUUAAAAGCAUGCUGUUCUUUCACUGCCAGUCCUGGUAAUGUCCUUUAUGGCAAAAGAAAACCCCAGGCCAUGCCUUGCGUUCAGUUGGGAUCCCUCUUUUUUUUUCCUUUUUUUGCCAUAGAGUUUCAUUCUUGUCACCCAGGCUGGAGUGCAAUGGCGUGGUCUCGGCUCACUGCAACCUCUGCCUCCCGGGUUCAAGCGAUUCUCCUGUCUCAGCCUCCCGAAGUGCUGGGAUUACAGGCACCCACCACCACGCCCGGCUAAUUUUUUGUAUUUUUAGUAGAGAUGGGGUUUCACCAUGUUGGCCAGGCUGGUCUUGAACUCCUGACCUCAGGUGAUCCGCCUGCCUCGGCCUCCCAAAGUGCUGGGAUUACAGGUGUGAGCCACCGCACCAGGCCUCUUUUACCUCUAAAUGUGUCAGUACUCCAGUGUGUAUUUCCUAAAAGCAAGACUAUUUUAUUACAUAAGUAUAGUACACUUUUCAAAAUCAGGGAACUAACACUGAUAUAACCCUGUAGUCACUAGACCUCCUUCCUGUUUCACUGCCUGUCCUUGUAAUGUCCUUUAUGGCAAAAGAAAACGUCAGGUCAUGCCUUGCCUUCACUCGGGAUGCCUCUUUGACUCUUUUCAUCUGAAACAGUUUUUGAGUCUUUGUAUUCUAUGACAUUGGCAUUUUUGAAAAGUACCUGCCAGAUAUUUUUUAAGAUGUCUAAAAAUUCC